GUGCAGGGAACGUGUUUUGAAAACGAGGCAAAAUCCAGACCAUAACCCAGUUCGCGCCUCUUUGAUUCUUGCCUAACGACGUAGGAAAGAGACAGCGUGUUUCAAUCAUGCCAGGUUACUUUCAGCGACCGGAAAAUGCACUUCAAAGAGCGAACGCAUACUGCUUAGUUUUGUGAGUGGUGAAGACACUCAGGAUCAUACAGACGGAGUCAUGUUGACACCUUGGGUCAAGUUUUUAUGGGAAGCUUAUUGCAAUGUGUUAGAAUUGCUGCGACAUAAUGCACAAUUGGAAAAGCUAUAUAUCAUGACACAGCCCAACAAGCUUUUAAAUUCUGCUUGAAGUACUCCCGUCGCACAGAAUCUCGAAAGCUUUGUGACAAUGUGAG